CCGACAGAGUGAAGCGCGGGGUGGGAGGGGGGGACUUCCCUCAGAGCCUGGGAGGCGUGAGGUUCUGGUCAACAGAGGACAGAGAGGGGAGGCCAAGAAAGGCCAAGAAAAGUCAAGAAAGAGGAGUGGUGGAAGAGAAGAAUUGGGAGCGAAAGGAGAAUCGGAAAUCAACUAUUCACUCAAAACUACUGUCAGAGAGAUCCUGGGAUCGCAUGCAGAUGGAGAAUUGAGAGGAUCUGGCAAGUUCAGAGGUUUGCCCAAAAUUAUACAACCACAACUAAUGAGCUGGGACUCGAACUGGCAGCCGGACACCAAGCUCUUCCAUGCUUGAGCCCCAGGUGCUCGCCCAUCCCCAGUACCCCUCCCGGAGACCUCGAAGGAAACCGUGGCUGGCAGAGGAGCGAACCCGAGUAUCCAUCCACCCACUGCCCUCGCCCAGGCGUCCAUGAGCGCCUGCCCCCACCCACCCCCCCCCCUCCCGCGGGAGAGAGCGCUCGCUCCCCGGCCGCCGCGUGGCGUCUCUGUCAGCCCAGCCGGAUUCUCCCCGCUUCGCUGGAGUGGAAAAUAACGGCUUCAAACUUUGCAGAGAAGAGCUGCUGCCAGCACUUUAAUUAACAGCCAUCUUAGCCUGUGAGCUGGGGCCACCCGCACCGCGCCUCCCCUCGGCUCGCCAGGUCCCGCCUCCUAUCACGCCCAGGCCCGAAGGAUCCGAACACCCCCCCCCCCCCCCCCGCUGCUUCAGUCAGCUGCUGUGCACACCCCAUGCACCUCCAUCACCACCUGACCCAGACAUGAAAGUCUGCCUGGUAGUGACUGGGAGUGCUGCCUUGGGAGACAGCUCCCAGGUUUAAUACCCAAAGACCCCCAGACCUUCCACCACACUCAUUCACUCCAAAGUCUGCAGCCUGGCCUGCGGAGAUUCUAGAAUUAGAGUUCUGCUGGCCAAACCCUAUCUUGUGAUUUUUAGACUCAUCUCUUAAUCUGCAGCGCCUCAAGUGUCCUACUCUGGAAAAGGGGU